GUGGGGAAUCUUGCGCAAUGGGCGAAAGCCUGACGCAGCCAUGCCGCGUGAAUGAUGAAGGUCUUAGGAUUGUAAAAUUCUUUCACCGGGGACGAUAAUGACGGUACCCGGAGAAGAAGCUCCGGCUAACUUCGUGCCAGCAGCCGCGGUAAUACGAAGGGGGCUAGCGUUGCUCGGAAUUACUGGGCGUAAAGGGCGCGUAGGCGGACAGUUUAGUCAGAGGUGAAAGCCCAGGGCUCAACCUUGGAAUUGCCUUUGAUACUGGCUGUCUUGAGUACGGGAGAGGUGAGUGGAACUCCGAGUGUAGAGGUGAAAUUCGUAGAUAUUCGGAAGAACACCAGUGGCGAAGGCGACUCACUGGCCCGUUACUGACGCUGAGGUGCGAAAGCGUGGGGAGCAAACAGGAUUAGAAACCCGGGUAGUCC
rnacentral:rRNA from 1 species